rnacentral:rRNA from 1 species
CCUACGGGAGGCAGCAGUGAGGAAUAUUGGACAAUGGGCGCAAGCCUGAUCCAGCCAUGCCGCGUGCAGGAUGACGGUCCUAUGGAUUGUAAACUGCUUUUAUACGAGAAGAAACACUACUUCGUGAAGUAGCUUGACGGUAUCGUAAGAAUAAGGAUCGGCUAACUCCGUGCCACAG